rnacentral:rRNA from 1 species
UACAGAGGGUGCAAGCGUUGUUCGGAUUUACUGGGCGUAAAGGGCGCGUAGGCGGCCAGCACAAGUCAGUUGUGAAAUCUCCGGGCUUAACUCGGAAAGGUCAACUGAUACUGCGCGGCUAGAGUGCAGAAGGGGCAACUGGAAUUCUCGGUGUAGCGGUGAAAUGCGUAGAUAUCGAGAGGAACACCUGCGGCGAAGGCGGGUUGCUGGGCUGACACUGACGCUGAUGCGCGAAAGCCAGGGGAGGCGAACGGG